UAGGGAAUCUUCCACAAUGGGCGAAAGCCUGAUGGAGCAACGCCGCGUGUGUGANGAAGGGUUUCGGCUCGUAAAACGCUGUUGUAAGAGAAGAAUGACAUUGAGAGUAACUGUUCAAUGUGUGACGGUAUCUUACCAGAAAGGAACGGCUAAAUACGUGCCA
rnacentral:rRNA from 1 species